rnacentral:rRNA from 1 species
GACGAACGCUGGCGGCGUGCUUAACACAUGCAAGUCGAACGGAAAGGCCCUGCUUUUGUGGGGUGCUCGAGUGGCGAACGGGUGAGUAACACGUGAGUAACCUGCCCUUGACUUUGGGAUAACUUCAGGAAACUGGGGCUAAUACCGGAUAGGAGCUCCUGCUGCAUGGUGGGGGUUGGAAAGUUUCGGCGGUUGGGGAUGGACUCGCGGCUUAUCAGCUUGUUGGUGGGGUAGUGGCUUACCAAGGCUUUGAAGGGUAGCCGGCCUGAGAGGGUGACCGGCCACAUGGGGACUGAGAUACGGCCCAGACUCCUACGGGAGGCAGAAGUGGGGAAUAUUGCACAAUGGGCGGAAGCCUGAGGCAGCAACGCCGCGUGCGGGAUGACGGCCUUCGGGUUGUAAACCGCUUUCGCCUGUGACGAAGCGUGAGUGACGGUAAUGGGUAAAGAAGCACCGGCUAACUACGUG